CUUGGCUCCUACUCAGUCCCCAGGAAUCUGGUCCGGGCUGCUGUGUUCCAGUCUUCCCAAGGCUCCUGGUGUCCCAGAAACCCAGGAAAUCAAUGCUCAGGACUUCCAGAGAGGAUGGCAUCUAGAAGGCUCACCUUCCCCCACCCUUCCUCUGCUCCCCACCUCAACCACCUCCGGUCCCAAGUGGUGUGGACAGAGCCACGUACUUCAGGUCAUACGUUUGGAGAGGCCAGAUCUGCUCUGCCUUCCUCACAGCGUUACGCUCUUAUCAGGACGUGAUAGCCUAUUACAUACAACCUGUAUGCAUCUGCUUGUUGUUCACUUCCCCCACUAGAAGACACAGAGCUCCUCGAGGGCAGGGAGGACUGAAACUUCUCCCUGAGAUUGUCACCAUCACCUAGCACCCCACACAGUAGAUGUUCAAUAAAUGACCAUUAUAUGGGCAAAUAGAUAAACAAAUGAGUGGUUUGGAGUUUCCCUGCCUAGAGAUCUUCAAAGGAGAGCAGACAACCAACUCUUCUGUCUAGUCCAAAGACAUUAUUCGCCUGCCCAAAGGCUGAGGGCUGUGCCCAAUGCUUUCUCAAGGUAAUUCAGCUUCUAUAAUUAGAUUAUACCAAGGUACCAGUUCAAGGUUCUUUUCUCUUAUUGGCUAAGCAUUUAUUGACUACGGGCCAUGUGCAAGGUACGGAGCCAUUGUUCUCUAAAUCUAUUAGAGAUCCUAUUCUAUUAUUUAAUUCUAUUACUCCAUGUUGACAUAAGAUGAAAUAGUGUCCCCACCGCAGUCACUCUUAGGUGAGGUCAGCCAAGGCAGAUGGGGAAGAAUCAGCAUUGUCUAAUCUAAAUGGAUAAGCUGGCACAGUGGGUUCCCCUGUGUUAAUAUUCCAUAACAACCAGUCCCACUCAGCCUCCUCCCAGCUAAUAAACACAGCAUUUUUAGGUACCAAUAUCUGCUGCCUAUUAAUUGGUAUUAAAAUCUCCAAUUACUUCUUGCUUUCCCUUCCCUCCCACUCAUCCACCUGUUGUGUCAAACUGGGAAGAGUUGGUUUGGAACUUA